UAGGGAAUUUUCGGCAAUGGGGGCAACCCUGACCGAGCAAUGCCGCGUGAAUGAAGAAGAUCUUCGGAUUGUAAAAUUCUGUUAUUGGGGAAGAAAAAUAUGCAUAGGAAAUGAUGUAUAUCUGACGGUACCUGAUGAGGAAGCCCCGGCUAACUAUGUGCCAGCAGCCGCGGUAAUACAUAGGGGGCAAGCGUUAUCCGGAAUUAUUGGGCGUAAAGCGUGCGUAGGCGGUUUAUUAAGUCUGAUGUGAAAGCCCACAGCUUAACUGUGGAAUGUCAUUGGAAACUGGUAAACUAGAGUACGGUAGAGGUAAGUGGAAUUCCAAGUGGAGCGGUGGAAUGCGUAGAGAUUUGGAGGAACACCAGUGGCGAAGGCGGCUUACUGGGCCGGAACUGACGCUGAGGCACGAAAGCGUGGGGAGCAAACAGG
rnacentral:rRNA from 1 species